AUGCAGGGGAUGCAGGACGAGCAAGAUAAGAUUUGUCUUUCCCAGUCCUCCAAACUGCAGAAUCUCAAGAUAGAUGACAUCGAGGGCUUCCUUGGGGCGCCUGCCCUCUGUAGCCUCCUCUCUUCCUCCCUCACCGAGUUAACCUUUGUUGAGAACGAUGAGAUGGUGUGCUUCACAAAGGAGCAGGAGGAGGCACUUCACCUCCUCACUUCGCUCCAGAAACUCUGGUUUUGGAGUUGCAACAAGUUGGAGCACCUCCCUGCAGGGCUAAACAAGCUGACCAACCUCAACAGAUUAUGGAUCUACAAGUGUCCAGCCCUCCGUUCGCUGCCCAAGGACGCCCUCUCGAGUUCACUGCGAGAAUUAGAUGUUGAGGAUUGCGAUAACAACGAGCUAACAGAGCAGUGCAGGCGGUUAAUGGGAACCAUCCCGAAAAUCAUACUUUAG
rnacentral:rRNA from 1 species